GUUCUGUAUUCUUCAUCUCCUCUCUUUUUAAACAUGUUUUAUUGUAUUUAUAUCUUCUUUUUGCUAUUCGAAAGCACCGCCUUUUUUCCCAACAUAUUUGGUCAAACCAAGGUUUAAUAACUUUUUUUCGACAUUUCUUUUCAUGUCGUUUAUAAGUGAAAGAUCCAAACACCUUUUCGGCUGAAUCCAGCAUUAAACCAUUUACAGAUUCAACUAUUUUAUUAAUAUUUUCUUGAGCCAGUAUACUGGUAUUCAACAUAGUUAAAUCAUUAUUUAAUUGAUCGAUUUUAUUUCUAUCGAUAUUUCUCAAAAAUUCGGCUUCUUUUUCACAAUCCCAUUUUUUGAAGCCUUUUUCUUUCAUGGCAUGUAAAAUCGUUUAUUAAAAUGUCAUCGCAUUCGACGAUGUUAUCAAUCGAGUUGAAGACUAGCUUACAGUUCAGAGGCGAAUGAACAUCGGAAAAAAGAGCAGAAAAAUCAAGUACAGACAUAUUUACAACACAUGAUAACAAAUUAUAUGUACAAAUAAAAUAGUCAACCACACUUGACUGGCGACAUGUAAAUAAGCCUUCUUUAUCACCUUCAACCCUUCCGUUUAAAAUAAACAGAUUGUUAUUUCUGCA
rnacentral:lncRNA from 1 species